UCUUUGUAGACUCGGUGACUAAUCGAUGUGCAACGUAACGUGACUUUAGUGUAAUCGUAAAUCAACGUGUUAUGUGAGUGAAGUGGACUUAUACACGACUUAUAGAGAAGUGUUGUCCGUCACGUGAUCCUUGUGUAACCCGCGAUAGCGCGGGUUUCCCGUAACGAAGGUGGCUCACACGGCUCGAGACAGGGCCGCCGAACUGCAGGCGGAAGUGCGCAGUGCCAUAAGGGUAUUACAUGGCUGGUGCCCUCGGCCACCUCAGGGGCACGCGCGGGGCGAAACGGUGCUGAUGUCACCGCAGUCUCAAAUACGUGGCAAUCACGGAAGAAACAGUGGUCCACCUCCACCACCACCCGCGACAGUUGUAGUCAGUUCGACCUCCAGCAUGAGACCACCGCCGCCACCGCCGCCUCCCAGAGCGAGAACCUCCAACGAGAGCAAAGGCCAUCACGAGGAACCCACCAGUUCUAUUCCCGAUCUCGCAACAACGUUUAUCAUCAGGAGACUCAAAAGGGUUAAAACGAAUCGAUCACUCGACGAAGGUACCGUAGGGUCUUCGACCUCUUGUCGUGCGGUGAAGGUCCGCGGAUAACCUACUCCUUGGUUACUGCACUCGAUGUCGGUGACCGGGACGUCGAUCCCUCAGAAGAGGCGAAAGACCUCUGUGGACUACUCGGAACCGCGAAAUAGAGGACUACGACAUUCGCUCGAUGUCUACAACGGGGGUGCAGUGAACAUCGGCUCUUCGGGGUUUCCAUAGCGACCGCCACUAAACUACCCUUGCAACGCCCACCCGAGGGCUGCGUUUCUACU